UAGAUCUCUGUGACGCCUACCCGCAUAUCCACGAGUACGAAGAGAAGCUAGCUAGUCCACAUAUAAUCAGUAUCAGCCCUGGUCUUCCGCUACUGUCGGAUUUUCGUAUUCCCUUCCUCUCACGCUAUCAUAAGUGUAGUUUUCAUUAUAGAGCACUAUUGGCCGCUCGGAACUUUCUGGUGGAACGCGCUCAGUUGGAUCUACCAAGAAAACAUUGUAUUGUCUAGUAAUAUCCAACAUAUGAAGCCAGUGGAAGAAUUAGGGGUCACAUCUGACUUUAUCU